rnacentral:rRNA from 1 species
UACGUAGGGGGCAAGCGUUGUCCGGAAUCAUUGGGCGUAAAGAGCGUGUAGGCGGCCAGAUAAGUCCGCUGUGAAAUCUCGAGGCUCAACUUCGAGCUGUCGGUGGAAACUGUCUGGCUAGAGUCCGGAAGAGGAGAAUGGAAUUCCUGGUGUAGCGGUGAAAUGCGCAGAUAUCAGGAAGAACACCUAUGGCGAAGGCAGCACUCUGGGACGGUACUGACGCUGAGACGCGAAAGCGUGGGGAGCGAACAGG